CCACACCACAAUACCGGGUGGCAGCUUGCACAGGUGCUGGUUACACUGCCCCGUGCAGGCUGAGCCCUAUUUGCACCCAAGCACUGUUCACGUGUGCAGUAAGGACCAGCCCGUCUGCCCCAUCUCUGCACAAAUGGGCUGGAGCAGGAGGAGGGUCUGCUUUUUGCCCAGUUCUGCCUCCCUUGCACCCGUGAGUGACACCCACAGGGACAGCCCCACUGGCUUGUAGGGCUGGUAGUGGGAGGGUGUCACAGGACAAGUGCUAUAGGUCAGAGGCCCUAAGUGUGGACUGGGGACCCAGUCCUGCCAUCUGCUCCCAGGCAGCAUUCCUGCUGAAGCCAGCACUGAUUGUGUGUAGAGCAGAGGCCGCUUUGUCAGUAAGAAUCACAGCUACUGGCUGAUCUGUUUUCAUUUUCUCUCCCUCUGUUCUUCCCCAGGACUCUCCACCAGAGCUGGGACCUGCCAGAGCACAAAGACAUGCAGGCCAUGUCAUCAUGGAGACGGACAUUUCUUCAUUCCUCCUUGGCCCUGCAGUGAUCCCUCUUCUGCCUGGCUGCAUCACUGUCCUUGUUACACUCCAGAUCCACCAGCUGAUGGCAGUUCCAAGUGGUCGGACCAGACCAGCCGGUCGUUGUCUCUGUGGGAGAAGAUGCUGUCCUCCCCUGCCACCUCUCCCCCAGCAUGAGCGCUGAGGACAUGGAGGUGCGGUGGGUCCAGUCCCUGUUCUCAUCCUACGUGCACUUAUACCAACGUGGACAGGAUCAGGAUGGGCAGCAGAUGCCUGAAUAUCAAGAGAGGACUUCUCUCAUAAAGGAUGACAUCACCAGUGGGAGCAUCUCCCUAAUAAUACGCAGUGUCCUACCUUCUGACCACGGGCAGUACAAGUGCUUUUUCCAGUCUGAUGUCUCCUAUGAAGAAGCCCUGUUGGAACUGCAGGUGACAGGCGAGUGCCUCUGCUGUUGGGACCUGUCUAGAGUAUAAUGGGGCUGUUAGGCUCAGUAGGAGGUGACAAUAAUUCACUUGUCAGCACCCAGAGUCUUCUCUCAACCUUCAGUGCCUGCAGUUUAGGGAGCCUUCAGUGCUGGCAGAGGCAGCAUAGAUAGCCCAGCCAGGGGGCUGGAGAGGGGGCUGUGCUGAGCCCCCUCUCCAGCCCCCUGGCUCUGUUAUGUAUGCUGCCUCUGCCAGCACUGGUGCUCACCUGGAGCCAUACCUGGCAGGGGCUGGAGGCUCCCGCCUUGUGGAAAGGAGGCAGGAGUCCCUUCAUCGGCUUCACUCCUCCCCGGCUCCUCUUUCUCUCCACCCCUUGCCUGAGACACUGCUGCUACCAUGAGAGGUCUUUACAUGGCGCCCAGCUCUGGGGUGAAUUGUAUCACAGCUGCUGUUCAGCUGUGUGCUGAACGACACUAGACAAUCCUCAACUUGAUGGCUACUGCAAGAGGGUUAACUCCAUGGCUGCUUGGCGAAGCAUACACCUCCUGUCCCCAGCAAUGGUGUUUUCUAUGAGGGAGGAGGGGCAGGGGCAGGAUGAGAGGACUCCUGCCCCCUGCUGCCAUUCUGGACCUCACCUGUAUCUGUUCUUAUGCUCCCCCCAACCCCUUAGUCACCACUUGGGGCUCCUGCCCUGCUCACCUGGCCCCAGUUACUUUCCUAAGUGUUGGUGUUUGUUUCCUGGGAGCAAACUAGAAGGGCUUUCAUCAUGUGCCCUGUCCUUAGGGUGGCCUGCACGCUGUCCUAGAGGGGUGAGGAUGGAGCAGGUUUCAGUUUCACAGAAGUUUGAAAGCCUGAUUUUGUAAAAUAAUUUCUUUAUAACUGGGGAAAAGAAAGAAAAUGUGAAUGAGAUGAUGUGAGCUGGGAUGAGCAUGGGAGCUGUUCAUUGCCGUUGAAGAGAUGCAGUAACAGAUCCCA